ACUUGCCGAUAGUGGUGACGGCGGCAACAUGUCUGUGGCUUUCGCGGCCCCGAGGCAGCGAGGCAAGGGGGAGAUCACUCCCGCUGCGAUUCAGAAGAUGUUGGAUGACAAUAACCAUCUUAUUCAGUGUAUAAUGGACUCUCAGAAUAAAGGAAAGACCUCAGAGUGUUCUCAUACAAAAAUUGGCUGGACGUGGUGGUGGAUACCUGUAAUCCCAACUGCUUGGGAGGCUGAGGCAGGAGAAUCACUUGAACCUGGGAGGCGGAGAUUACAAGUGAGCCAAGAUCGCACCACUGCACUCCAGCCUAGCUGACAGUAUCAGCAGAUGUUGCACACAAACUUGGUAUACCUUGCUACAAUAGCAGAUUCUAAUCAAAAUAUGCAGUCUCUUUUACCAGCACCACCCACACAGAAUAUGCCUAUGGGUCCUGGAGGGAUGAAUCAGAGCGGCCCUCCCCCACCUCCACGCUCUCACAACAUGCCUUCAGAUGGAAUGGUAGGUGGGGGUCCUCCUGCACCGCACAUGCAGAA
rnacentral:lncRNA from 10 species